GGUACCAAGAUAUCUUUCGCUAGAAUUAGAUAAUGAUACCAAUGUACUUCUCUAAUGAGUCUAGUCAAGGUACUAAGGUAUCUUUUCAUAAGAUAAUGCGAGGUACCAAACUACCUCUUUCUUAGGUUAGUAGAUUUUAUAAUUAGAGAACUAACUUAUUAAGUACAAAAAUAUUAAAAAUGUAAUUUAAAGUGCUACGUUUUAAAAUUAGAAUUAUAACCUUUUAAUGGAUUUUUUUGCUCGUUAUAUUUUCAAUUCCAUUGGCCAAGGUUUGGAAAUUGCAUUUGCUACACUUAUUGCCAUCUUGGGUCUGGUUCUUUUUGCCCAUUUAAUUGGAAAUAUGCAGGUUAAAUAUUUGGAUGCAGUAGACCAUCAAACAAAUAAUUUCAGUUUCUUUCUCACGGAUAACAAAAAAUAUUGCUUUUGGUUCUAAAACCUAAAAAACAAUUGAUUUUACCUUUUCUUUUUUGUCAUAUGAGAAUCAACUAUCAAGUACUUAGAAGUAAAUUACACCAAGUGCAUACUAGGCCAAACCUUAUCAGUAUGUGAUCUUCAUCACUACUAGUACAAACACUUGUAUCUUCUAGAAGUUUGGCCUUCGUUACUUGCUCGUUCUCGAAUCUAUUUAGAAAAUUCAAGAUGGCAGGUGUUACUAGCUAAUUAAAGAAUUUACUACUGUCUAAAGCACCUCUCGGGUGGUGUUGAAGUAUAAAAAGCUCUAGGAUUAUAGGAUUUUUACUAUGUAUGUUUUCUUUUCUUUUGUUUGAUAUAUCUGAUAUGUAUUAUACACAUGGGAUCAGAGAAUGCUCUUUAUGCUACUGCCUACAGAUCUUAUGUCUUCCAUUGUCGCAAAACUAUAGUUUUAUUGCAUUACUAAUAGACAUCAAUACAUUAUUUUGGGUGAUUGCUCUAGUGAUUGGCUUUCAAUGUUUUGUGCUUUUGAUAUAUUAAUAAUGUUUCUUCCCUUAACUUUGUUUAAUACUCCAUUUUGGUAUGUGAUUUACUCUUUUCUCUAAUUGCUUUAAUUAUUUCUAUAAUUUUUGGUAUUGUUUCUUAUUUUCAUCAAUCUCCUUGUUAAUUUUUUUUUAUUUCAUUAAAUUCAUCACUUUUGUUGCAUUUUAUUCAUUGUUUCAUUGAAUUUCUUGCUUUUCUUUUAAUUUUGAUUUGCUAUUAUUGUUUAGUUUGCUUUAUUCUUUACUAUUAUUUAUAUUUUUUAUUUCUUCUAUUCUGCAUUUGAAUUGCCCUAUUGCCGUUGUUUUGUCUCUCUAGUGCAAGAAUUACUGCUUUGGCAAGAGUUUUGAUCAAUUCCAUGCAAGUACUAUGUCUGAGCAGCGUGAGAGAUCCCUGAAGGUGGGUGUCUCCAAGAGAAGGCAUUCAGACCUACCUAACCAGCCUGCACCAACUGCACCACCUGCACCUAGAGCUUUGGCUCUACCUCCAGCUCCCGCACGACAUAGACGUUUACAGUUUCAGAGCCCCACUCAUGAGGCUUGUUACCAACAGCUGCAGUACAAGCAGUUAUGCUGUGGGAGAUGCAUCGACUGACAGGCAUUGGAGACAGUUGGCCUAGCUACUGAGGUUCGAGAGUUACUUCAGAAUCCACCUUUUGAGGCCUUCUUUGGCAUUAUGGAGCCCACUUACAAGGAGCUCACACUUGAGUUCACCUCCACUUUCUUCCUUCAAACAUAGAUCAGGGACUGGUCUCAGCCAGAGGCCAUUUCAUUUCAGUUAGGGGGCAGACUUGUAUGAUGAGUAUCCCCCAGUUUGGUUGUUGCACUUGGCCUCUAUGACCAGGUGACCAUAAAGUCCGAUGAUUUUAAAGGUCCAUUAUACAACCUGGUAGUUUCUUUUGACAAGGCCUGGGAGACCAUCUCAGAAGGGGACGAGCCUUACUACCCGAGCAAGUCUAAGGCGUCCAGCCUCUUUGAUAGCCCGCGAUAUCUUCACUGCCUGCUCGCAUAUACAUUGAUAUGGUGAGGGAACAGUCUUGGAGUGGUCACCUAACCUGAUGUAUUCUAUUUAUGGGCCCUCCAUCAAAGGAGGAUGGUGGACAUGGGAUAUGUGUUAGCCAAGCAGUACAAGACUAUUACUGGGAACCCGAAGAAGACUUUUAUCUAUUUCGAACCUUAUGUGACCAAGACUGCUAGUAGGAUGGAGCUACUGGAUAAAGCUCUGCUGGAUGAAUUGACGCUUGUUGGCGAGAUGAUCCCUGUUGGCCUCUCUACUAUGUAGCAUAUGAGGAUGGUCACCCGGGGGACAGGGCCCCUAGGACCAGAUUACAUACUUAUUCAUACGAUAGCCCGGGCAGCUCAAGAGGAGCAGGGGGAGCACCCUAGAACUAUAAAUAUUCCUGGCUCCUCCCAACCUUCAUCCUCAUCAGCUCCUCGGCCAUCUAGUGUGCAAAUUGAUGAGCCGACUGGCGAUAUUUGAUCGGAUCACCAACGUGCAGCAACAACACGCAGACAGGUUUGACAGGUUCGAGUAGGAGGUUAGAGCACUGUUCCAGCACAGAGGUAGUUGGCCUAGGGGGACAAGAUAGAGGCAGCCUUGCAGCAUAAUAGGAUGGAUGAUUUUGACUUUGCUGACUUUGGCGAGUAUUUUCCACCUCCAACAGCCAAUGAUGCACCUCCUCCAGCACCACCGCCACCAGCCUAGCAGGAUGAGUAUUUUUCUAGGUACAUCAUCAAAGUUAGAGAGAAAUCGGACCAAAAUCGGGAAGAAACAAUUGAAUCGGGCGCGUUAGACUAUUCAACAUGCCCUACCAACAUGCCCGUGCUAAGGAGCACGGCUACGGUUAGAGGGCGUGCUAAAAUGCCUUACCUAUAGCGAGAAGAAGCAAUUUGCAACAUAGUUUUUGAGAGUGACAUGGCCUAGGAGAAUGCCUGUGCUGAGGAGCACGGCCCAAAUCCAAGUCGUGCUGAGGAAGGCUAGAUUAUACAGUUUUAGAUCAAGACGACAUGGAUCCAGGCUGUGCUGGUCAGCACGACCCAAAUCUAACCCAUGUUGGAUCCUGAAACCUAAUUUAAAAGAAAAGGAAAAGAAAGAGAAAGAAGACAAGAGGGACAUAGAGAGAGAACUUUGGGGUAUUCAAGACAGACCUUGAGAGCAACCUUCAAAACGAUCAAGAGGAGGAAAAACGGAGAUGAAUUCCACUUCAACAUCAUCCAUAUAGCUAUGCUUGAGGAUUGGUUUGAAGAUUCAAAGGACAGAAGAAGGAGAUCUUGAGCCGCAGAGAUCAGAUCCAGAGUUAUUCAAGAGGGGAUCCAGAGUUAUUCAAGAGGGGAUAGCAUUUCACCAUUUGAGAAAAGGGUGUCCAUGCUCUUUUCGAUUCUUGUUUACUUUGUAUUCAAUUCUUGUAUUAGUUUAAUCAUGAACAUGUGUAACUAAUCUUAUUAAACCCAUUUGAGGUGAUCUUUAGUCAUGCUAAGCUUGUUUUGGGCUUAAGUGAUUAGAUUGUUGAUUUAAGAUUGUAG